rnacentral:tRNA from 1 species
CAAGAAUUAGUUUUAUAAAAUAUUAAUUUUGGAGAUUAAAGUUAAAGAUAGUUUCUUUAUUCUUGA